rnacentral:rRNA from 1 species
UACAGAGGUCUCAAGCGUUUGUUCGGAUUCAUUGGGCGUAAAGGGUGCGUAGGCGGCGCGGUAAGUCGGGUGUGGAAAUCUCGGAGCUUAACUCCGAAACUGCAUUCGAUACUGCCGUGCUUGAGGACUGGAGAGGAGACUGGAAUUUACGGUGUAGCGGUGAAAUGCGUAGAUAUCGUAAGGAAGACCAGUGGCGAAGGCGG